rnacentral:misc_RNA from 1 species
CAGCAUUAUCCGUCAACUGUAAGAACCCCAAAUUCCAAGAAGAAUGUGUGAUAAAAAUUCCAAAGCAAAACCAACCCUAAUUCCUUGAAUAAAAAGAAGAGGAAAUUAGUAAAAUUGAUGAAAACCCAAUAACCCCAGGUGCUUAAUAAGCAGCAAAAGUCCGAGUUCUACAUAAAAUCCCAGACAUUGUACCUCGUCUCUUCCCACCUAUACCUUCCGUUUCCUGUCUUUCUUUCUCUUCCUUCAAAUUGUCCUAUUUUCCACUCG